GGGGAAUAACUGUUGGAAACGACAGCUAAUACCGCAUAAUAUUGCUGGAUAAUUUCCAGUAAUGAAAGGAGCUUUCAAGCUCCGCUGAUUGAUGAGGAUGCGGCGCAUUAGCUAGUUGGUAGGGUAAUGGCCUACCAAGGCAAUGAUGCGUAGCCGAUCUGAGAGGAUGAACGGCCACAUUGGGACUGAGACACGGCCCAAACUUCUACGGAAGGCAGCAGUAGGGAAUUUUUCACAAUGGGCGAAAGCCUGAUGGAGCAAUGCCGCGUGACUGAUGAAGGUCUUCGGAUUGUAAAGGUCUGUUGUAAGGGAAGAAAUGGUAAAACAGGAAAUGGUUUUAUCUAUGACGGUACCUUACCAGAAAGCCACGGCUAACUAUGUGCCAGCAGCCGCGGUAAUACAUAGGUGGCAAGCGUUAUCCGGAUUUAUUGGGCGUAAAGGGUGCGUAGACGGUUUUGCAAGUCUGAGGUUAAAUUUAGGAGCUCAACUCCUAAUCGCCUUGGAAACUACAAGACUAGAGUAUAGGAGAGGUUAGUGGAAUUCCAUGUGUAGCGGUGGAAUGUGUAGAUAUAUGGAGGA
rnacentral:rRNA from 1 species